AACGAACGCUGGCGGCAGGCCUAACACAUGCAAGUCGAACGAGAUCUUCGGAUCUAGUGGCAGACGGGUGAGUAACGCGUGGGAACCUACCUUUAGGUACGGAAUAACAGUUAGAAAUGACUGCUAAUACCGUAUGUGCCCGAGAGGGGAAAGAUUUAUCGCCUUUAGAUGGGCCCGCGUUGGAUUAGUUAGUUGGUGAGGUAACGGCUCACCAAGACGACGAUCUAUAGCUGGUUUGAGAGGAUGAUCAGCCACACUGGGACUGAGACACGGCCCAGACUCCUACGGGAGGCAGCAGUCGGGAAUAUUGGACAAUGGGGGAAACCCUGAUCCAGCCAUGCCGCGUGAGUGAUGAAGGCCUUAGGGUUGUAAAGCUCUUUCGCUGGGGAA
rnacentral:rRNA from 1 species